rnacentral:rRNA from 1 species
GAUGAACGCUAGCGGCAGGCCUAAUACAUGCAAGUCGAACGGUAACAUGAGUAGCAAUACUUUAUGACGAGUGGCGCACGGGUGCGUAACACGUAUGUAAUCUUCCCACAACUGGGGGAUAGCCCGGAGAAAUCCGGAUUAAUACCCCAUAACCCAGCGAGGUGGCAUCACCUUUCUGGUAAAUCUCCGGAGGUUGUGGAUGAACAUGCGUCCGAUUAGCUAGUUGGCGGGGUAACGGCCCACCAAGGCGACGAUCGGUAGGGGUACUGAGAGGUUAAACCCCCACACUGGUACUGAGACACGGACCAGACUCCUACGGGAGGCAGCAGUAAGGAAUAUUGGACAAUGGAGGCAACUCUGAUCCAGCCAUGCCGCGUGAAGGAUGAAGGCGCUAUGCGUUGUAAACUUCUUUUGAACGGGAAAAAACCCCUUUACGUGUAAAGGGUUGAUUGUACCGUUAGAAUAAGGGUCGGCUAACUUCGUGCCAGCCGCCGCAGUAAGAC